rnacentral:rRNA from 1 species
UACGAAGGUCCCAAGCGUUAUCCGGAUUUAUAGGGUUUAAAGGGUGCGUAGGCGGGUUAUUAAGUCAGUGGUGAAAGCCUACAGCUUAACUGUAGAACUGCCAUUGAUACUGAUGAUCUUGAGUAUGAUUGAGGUGGGCGGAAUGUGUCAUGUAGCGGUGAAAUGCUUAGAUAUGACACAGAACACCGAUUGCGAAGGCAGCUCACUAAGUCAUAACUGACGCUGAUGCACGAAAGCGUGGGGAGCAAACAGG